UUCCUACGGGAGGCAGCAGUGGGGAAUAUUGCGCAAUGGGGGAAACCCUGACGCAGCAACGCCGCGUGCGGGAUGAGGGCCUUCGGGUUGUAAACCGCUUUCAGCAGGGAAGACACAAUGACGGUACCUGCAGAAGAAGCCCCGGCUAACUACGUGCCAGCAGCCGCGGUAAUACGUAGGGAGCGAGCGUUAUCCGGAUUCAUUGGGCGUAAAGCGCGCGCAGGCAGCGCGCCAAGCGGAGCUUCUAAUCCCCAGGCUCAACCUGGGGCCGGGCUCCGAACUGGCGUGCUCGAG
rnacentral:rRNA from 1 species